rnacentral:rRNA from 1 species
CCCUUAGAUGUUCUGGGCCGCACGCGCGCUACACUGACGAAUGCAACGAGCUUAUAACCUUGGCCGAAAGGUCUGGGUAAUCUCCAAAUUUCGUCGUGAUGGGGAUAGAUUAUUGCAAUUAUUAAUCUUCAACGAGGAAUGCCUAGUAAGCGCAAGUCAUCAGCUUGCGUUGAUUACGUCCCUGCCCUUUGUACACACCGCCCGUCGCUCCUACCGAUUGAAUGGUCCCGUGAAGCGUUCGGACCGUGGCCUUUGGACGGUUCGCCGUCUGUUGGCUGCGGGAAGUUCGUUAAACCUUAUCAUUUAGAGGAAGGAGAAGUCGUAACA